UACGAAGGGGGCUAGCGUUGCUCGGAAUCACUGGGCGUAAAGCGCACGUAGGCGGAUUGCUAAGUCAGGGGUGAAAUCCUGGAGCUCAACUCCAGAACUGCCUUUGAUACUGGCGAUCUCGAGUCCGGGAGAGGUGAGUGGAACUGCGAGUGUAGAGGUGAAAUUCGUAGAUAUUCGCAAGAACACCAGUGGCGAAGGCGGCUCACUGGCCCGGUACUGACGCUGAGACGCGAAAGCGUGGGGAGCGAACAGG
rnacentral:rRNA from 1 species